GCCAGGGUUUUUAUUUUUAUACUUUAAACUUUGAUUUUAUUUUUAUGUUUUUUAAAUAUUGGUGUUUUUGAAUGUGUUGUUUAAAUAACAUAAAAAAUAAAAUAUAUAUUGACAUGUAUUAAACAAAGAUAUAUAUUAUUUUAUGUUGUAUAAAUAAAUUGGCAAAAUAGAGAUGGAAGAUAAAAAUAUGGUCAAAGUAAUAAGAGUCUAUGGUGAAUGCCUAGGAGCUUUAAGGCGAAGAAGGU
rnacentral:misc_RNA from 1 species